rnacentral:rRNA from 1 species
CCUGGUGUCAGCCGCCGCGGUAAAACCAGCUCUCCGAGUGGUGGGGAUGAUUAUUGGGCUUAAAGCGUUCGUAGCCGGCUCAGCAAGUCUUCCGUUAAAUCCAGCGAUCUAAUCGUUGGACUGCAGAAGAUACUGUUGGGCUAGGGGACGGGAGAAGCCGACGGUAUUCUCGGGGUAGGGGCGAAAUCCUGUAAUCCCGGGAGGACCACCAGUGGCGAAGGCUGUCGGCUAGAACGAGCUCAACGGUGAGGGACGAAAGCUGGGGGAGCGAACCGGAUUAGAUACCCGGGUAGUCCCAGCUGUAAACGAUGCGGGCUAGGUGUUAGGGUGGCUACGAGCCACUCUAGUGCCGCAGCGAAGGCAUUAA